AUUGAACGCUGGCGGCAGGCCUAACACAUGCAAGUCGAACGAGUGGCGGACGGGUGAGUAAUGUGUGGGAAACUGCUCGCUGGGGGGGGCUAACUACUGGAAAAGGUAACGAAUACCGCGUACGAUCGGAUGUGCCCAGAUGGGCUGAGCUAGUGGGUGGGGUAACGGCUCACCACGGCGACGAUCCCUAGCUGGUCUUAGAGGAUGACCAGCCACACUGGAACUGAGACACGGUCCAGACUCCUACGGGAGGCAGCAGUGGGGAAUAUUGCACAAUGGGCGCAAGCCUGAUGCAGCCAUGCCGCGUGUAUGAAGAAGGCCUUCGGGUUGUAAAGUACUUUCAGCGAGGAGGCGUUACUCGCAGAAGAAGCACCGGCUAACUCCGUGCCAGCCGCCGCGGUAAUUC
rnacentral:rRNA from 1 species